rnacentral:rRNA from 1 species
UUUAAAGAGAGUUUGAUCCUGGCUCAGGACGAACGCUGGCGGCGUGCCUAAUACAUGCAAGUCGAACGAACGGAGGAAGAGCUUGCUCUUCCAAAGUUAGUGGCGGACGGGUGAGUAACACGUGGGCAACCUGCCUGUAAGUUGGGGAUAACUCCGGGAAACCGGGGCUAAUACCGAAUGAUAAAGUUUGGCGCAUGCCACGCUUUUGAAAGAUGGUUUCGGCUAUCGCUUACAGAUGGGCCCGCGGUGCAUUAGCUAGUUGGUAGGGUAAUGGCCUACCAAGGCAACGAUGCAUAGCCGACCUGAGAGGGUG